CUUUUCAGUUGGAAUUUCUCUCUCUAUGUUUUCAUCUACUUCUUUUUUCUGCACACUUUGAAUAUCAGAGCAUUCUGCAUUGUUCACGGCGUCAACAGUUAUUGCUUCUGGUGUAUAAUCAAAGUCCUUCUCACGCUUUUGAACAUCUAUUACAGCAACUUCAGGUGUAAUUUUCUCAAUGGUAGUAGUAGUUUCUGGGUUAUUUUUCUCUAGAAGCAUCAUGGGGGAAGCUUCCUGAACAUUUCCUGGUAAACUUUCAGAAACUUUGCUACCCUCAGGGACUAUUUCAGCAACAUCGGAUGCAAUUUCAAAAACUUCAGUUGGCUUUUCUUCAGACUUGUGUAUAUCAUCAUAGCCUCUGCUGAUGCUCUCCUCAGAUCUAACUUCUAUACCUUGCUCUGUAGGACUUGAUAUCGAAUCAGAAGUGGUUUUCGUGAGGUCAUCUGCUUGUGAUUCGCUUAGUGUUUCUUUCUCCUUGUUUGCAUCUUCUUCCAAUGUCUUUUCUUCUGUCACCAAAAUCUUUGGAAACUCUUCCUCUAUGAAUUCUAGAUUCCGAUCCUUGUUGCUUAUGUUGCUGUGGUCAACCUGUGUCUUAUCUGUUUCUAGUACUAGUUCUUUUGUUUGGUCUUCAACAGUUGAAGAUGCAAGUUCUUCAAGUGGUACAAUGGACACAAGUUUCUGUUACAUGAAAAAAACCACAAAAAUCUACAUGAUCAGUAGGUGAAGGUUAAAUUUCCAUUUGCAUGUAAUAAUCUAAAUGCCAUUUAUAAUGAUAAAACUACAUGAAAUCAGGCUAUGUUAACAAUGUCUUAUUAGCAUAGGAUCAGUAUAGGGAGGCUUUAACCAUGGGAUAAUCACAGUAAUAUUUUGUCAAGGGCUCAUGGCCUAGUUUCUUUCAAGCUGGUUGUCAUCCAGUGGUCUCAAAUCGAAUUAAUAGAAGACAAAGUUAGGGUUAUUUUUUUAUCAUCAGGGCUUAAUCUUUUUACCUUCUCACUUAAUGACCCAUCCACAGGUGUUUGACACGUGUCAUUUGUUACUUCUGGAUGUUCUUCCUCCAUCUCCAUCUUGAGAGUUGUUUCAGGAGUUUGUAUUUCAGAUAUAAGUUCAUCAUCCUUUUCUUUCUUCUCAAACUCAAGAUCAGGGGCUUCUGCAGACUGUAUAUUUUCUAGUUCUGUUGGGCUUUCUGCUUUCACUUCUUUGACUUCAUUGUUUCCAGCUGGUAUCGGCUUUGAAUAUUCUAUCUGUUAAAAGAUAUUUAUCAUUUUAAUAUCUGAAUAAAUGAAAUCAAUCUGAUAUUUUAGUAUCCUUCUUGCUGUCUUUACUGACCUCAUCAUCUAGGUCCUUUUGAUUUGAUGUCGAUGUCUUAUCGAGUUCUGGAGGACAUAUAUCUUCCUCAGAAACAUGUUCAUUGACUUCAUUUUUUUCCUCUUCUUUUUCAGUCUCC
rnacentral:lncRNA from 1 species